UACAGAGGGUGCAAGCGUUAAUCGGAGUUACUGGGCGUAAAGGGCGCGUAGGUGGUUGUUUAAGUGAGAUGUGAAAGCCCUGGGCUUAACCUAGGAACUGCAUCUUAUACUGGGCAACUGGAGUACUGUAGAGGGUAGUGGAAUUUCCGGUGUAGCGGUGAAAUGCGUAGAUAUUGCUCGGAAGGCCAGAGGCGAAGGCGGGUAACUGGCACGCAACUGACACUGAGGCACGAAAGCGUGGGGAGCAAACAGG
rnacentral:rRNA from 1 species